CUUUCAUUGGUAAUGGUUGCUGAUUUAGGUUUUAGAUAUGAAGAGUCAAACUUUAAGUUUUAGGGUGAAGGGAAGGGAGGAAAGGAAGGAGAGGCGAAACUGGAAAGGAUGGAAAAGGAGAACAAACUUUAGUUUAAGGAACUUAUUCCUUUGUAGAAAUGGAUGGUAUGGGAAACACUGUAGCACAAUAGAAUGAGCGCGAGAAGAUUCAAUCUUUUCUGGCUUCUUUUCCGGUGAUACCAUGCAUAGGUGGACUUUGGACCAAGAAGCUCUAAAGUUAUGGGGCGAGUGUAUGCAAUUAAAUUUCCCGCUGAGCAACUACGUGAAUGACAUGGAGGAGAUGAAGUGUUCACCAAGAAAGACUAUAUGCUCCAUAUCCGAAGAAACAUGACAAGAUUUGCCAAGACAAUGUCCAAAUAUUGUGGAAAUUCAACGUAAUCUCUCUCGGAAAGAAUACACGCUUCACCAAGGGAUUAUCUGCUUGACAAACUCAGCUGGAGCCUGUUUUUGAUUAGGUUGUCACUGCAAGAGAUUAUCAAAUCAACAAUAACUGUUUUGAAAUCAUUAUGUUUACAUAGAAUACUAGAAUAGUCAGUCAUAGUAUAAAUAGAUGAGUAGGAGUACUACUGCAAAGAGAUUAUCAAGUUUUUAGUUACAUUGUAAACUCCAUGUCUUAAGCCAUCUCUAGCAAUGGAGAGCUAUAUUGGA